rnacentral:rRNA from 1 species
UACGUAGGUGACAAGCGUUGUCCGGAUUUACUGGGCGUAAAGAGCGCGCAGGCGGUCGAUCAAGUCGAGUGUGAAAGCCCCCGGCUCAACUGGGGAGGGUCAUUCGAUACUGAUCGACUCGAAGGCAGGAGAGGGUAGUGGAAUUCCCGGUGUAGUGGUGAAAUGCGCAGAUAUCAGGAGGAACACCAAUGGCGAAGGCAGCACUCUGGGACGUGACUGACGCUGAGACGCGAAAGCGUGGGGAGCAAACAGG